AUAAUCUUUCUGAUUGGAUACAUUUUUUUGAUAUCCAUAGAAUUUUUUUCUCUCACAAAAAAAGUGCAGGAUGAUUAGUAACAUACCCAAUGACCUACUCAGACGUUGAUUUUAACUUAAUAAUUAAGUCAAAAAUUCUUUUGAAACAUAGUGACACUUGCAGGCUCUUGGUUCUUAAACAAGUAUAAUGGAAUGAUGUUCCCCCAUAGAAAGGAUGAGCCAUAGUUGAUGGUCUGCCAUCACUUUACAGCGGAAAGGGGUUAAGUUCCAAAACCCUCAUGUGAAAUUGUGAUAGGACAAAUAAGUCCAUUCUCAGUUUGACAAGAAUUUGAGUUGUCUAAAAUAAAGAAUAUCCUUUCUUUUAGCAUCCUAAAUUGCUUAACUGUGAGAGGCUUAAUGACUACAGAAAUAAAAAGGGUCUGAAUGUAACUUUCAUUCACUACGAAUAAAAAACAUUUUAUGAUUGUCUAGCAACUGAAUGCUAUUUUUCCCUUAAUGCCAUUUAACCUUUACUUGUUAGUCAAUAAGAAUCAACUCUACAACGAUUGGUACAUGCUGACAUACUUUUUUUUUUUCUUUUUUUGGGAUUCAGGUUAAAAGAAGCUUUGUAAUCAAGACCUUCUUAAUUUCAUACCUAAAUUACAGGGCUUUUCCUGCAUGUUGCCUUAGUAUAUUUUGUCCUACAUAUUUAAUAAUUCUUAUACUUCAGAAUAUUUUCAUGAUUAUUUUACAUAUUUUUAUAUAUGUAUCAGAUUAAAAAUCAGAGUCUUGACAAUGGCUGGUACUUUAUAGAGCUUCUACCAAGCACCUCACUAUUUAAAUGUGCAACUACCCUUCUCUGGUGAUUCUUACUGCUUUAUCACUCAUUACUCACACCAUUCCAUCUGGCUUACAGGCUAUAAAUGUUCGUUAUUUAUCACUGUCCAUUUUCAUGCACUAGACUAUGAGCUUAUGAGAUCAGCUUUUGUUUUUUUAAUCUGAGAGAUGAGUCUAGAGAAGAUCUGGUCCACAGAACGCUGUCCAUAAAUAUUUUUGAAUGAGUACAUCAGUGAUGUUUUGUAUUUGUUUUCCACCAGCACAUAGCUCAGAGUUGGAAGUUCUUAUAGCAAUAAAAACAUACCUGCUAGGGUGUGGGCCCUUGACAUAGGCCACCUCCCUCUGUGUCCUUGGGUUCACAGUACCUGACAUAGGGUCUUGCAUGUAUUCGUUAAUUGAUGAAUAUUUGCUUAACAAAAGAAAUGAAAUAAAAUAGAAACUAAAUUUACCUGCCUUUUCUAUACAGUAAAUCACUUGCUUUCUGUAUUUUCAAUAGUGAAUAAGGCUUAGCAGCAAAAACAAAUCUCUUUAGAGAAAAAGAGGAAUUAUUGAAAAUAUUUAAAUAUUUCACCUGUGGCCAUAAAUCUACAUGCCAUACUUUUUCAGACUCUUGUGAUGAUUCUUUAUAUUCAGUUAUUAUUGAACUGAAUUAUUAUGUUUAGGAAGAAAUUAUUCCUAGAUAAUUAUUAUAUUUAGGAAGAAAGUAUACAGUGCUCAAAAAUCCAUGCCUGAGUUUACAGGCUGAAAUACCUGAGCUGUCUAAUAACCAUUUGGAUGGCAGACUUAUUCCUGCUGUGGCACCUCCAGGCAUCUGGGGGCAUAAUUCCUCCAUCUCUCAUCACUGAUCAAGGCUCUUAACAGGAUCCAGCUGAAAGUGAGCCGGCCCCUGAGGCCCCAGGGAGGCAGAUGGAACAGAGGUGACCCGAAGGAUGGGCCAAACACAGCCUCCUUGUCGCUGUUCACUUGCAAGCUGUCAUGAAGAUCCCUCUCCAUGCAAAGAGAAAAACAGAACACCUGUGUAAGGGCCCCUUCUUUGUUGGUCAUAAACAAGUUUUCUUUUGACAGUUUCGGAAAACUGUUCUGCUCAGUGUGUCUGAGCCCACCUUGUUUCUGAAGUGGACGAAAUAGUGAACGAGUAGUGGAGAAAAGACUAGGCAUAUUUUGCUGGGUUGUGAUAGCAGGGGAGGAGUUAAGGAAAAGGAGACUGACCCUUGGCUUCUCUCGUGAGAUGAAGUGGAAUAAAAGAGAUGAGCUUAGCAUGGGUUAACAUUAGCUGAAUUGGUGACAUGAGAUGGGAAAUGAUCCCUGGCUAUUUACCUGAGAGAAGAGGUAAUCACCUGGUUACCUGGUUUUCCAUUCCACAUUUGACAGCAAAUGAAGGGUGAAGGAAAAAAGGAUGGAUACACUUUAUAGAAUUAUUUUGAGAAAGUUAAUAAUUUACAGGUGGGUGUUAAGCACAUUCUUUUUGGUUUUUAUUUUACCAGUGAUUAUUAUGGAUAAAGAAUUUUAGAAAAUCCUAUGAUCAUAUUUAGAAAAAGAUUAACUUCUUUCUAUGAGAGCAGAGCUAAUUUGAUAGUCUUAAUAAAACAUUAAAAACUAAUUUGAUGGUCUUAAAAUUAAUAGUGAAUUUUAUUACCACAACAAAUAUAAAUAAAAGUUUCCACAGGGUCAUCCUCAGAAAUCCAUCAGGGCUGUUUUCUGAUGUCGUUUUUUUUUUUUUUUUUUUUUCUUAACUGGGUAAACUUGGAUAAGUUGUUUUCAUCUUCUAAGCAGCAGAAUGGAGGAAAGUACAGUAUCUAAGAGUUGAUCAAGAGAAACUUUGAGACAAUACAUAUCAAGGAUUUAGAUCACUGACCAUCACAUAAAAGCCUCAAUAAACAUCUGUUAUUCUUAUUACCAUCAAGAAGAAAUAGAACUUUCUGCACUCUUUGUAGUGUUGGAUUUGUUUUGCAAACUGAUACUGAGAUGGUUAUUUCCCCAAAGAGUAUUAAACACCAAAACCUCUUUGUGCACAUAAUUAAUUAGUGAUCCAGUCUUUUCCAUCAGCUCUACGAUGUCUGGUUUCGCUCCAGUUUUAACAUCUUUGGAAUUGAAGUGCUGACUGUUCCUGGCCUCUUGCCAUUGCAGGCAGCCAGGUGGUGGUCAGAAGUUAGAUGUCACUGCCCAGUCAUUCCCAGUAGCAGAACCACACGAAAGUGGCUUGUCUGUGGUACAGUGGGUAAAAUGGUUACAAUAAUUGGAUGAAGAACAGGAGCCCCAGUUGUUACCCCAGAACUUUCUGUCCACACUGUCUGCUGAGUUCAGAAAGGCACUGGUUGGAGUCCCUGUUGUGGAUCAGUGGAAACGAAUCCGACUAGAAACCGUGAGGUUGUGGGUUCGAUCCCUGGCCUUGCUCCAGUGGGUUAAGGAUCCGGCAUUGCCAUGAGCUGUGGCAUAGGUCGCAGAUGCGGCUCGGAUUUCGCGUUGCUGUGGCUGUGGUGUAGGCCGGCAGCAACAGCUCCCAUUAGACCCCUAGUUUGGCAGCCUCCAUAUGCCACAGGUGCGGCCCUUAAAAAAAAAAAAAGAGAGAGAGGGAGAGACAAAAAGGUACUGGUGUCCAGACUGGCAGAAAGAGGGCAGUGGGGGUGGAAAAGCACCAGGAUACGCUAACAGAACAUUCCUUUAUCAAAUAUUAAAUAUCCAACACUUCUCUUAUCACCAAGAAUAAUACUGAGUCAAAAAGUAGUUAAAAAAAGAAAGCUUAGGAUAGUGGAUGAAGAUGGCUUUGGAAUACAUGUUUAUUUUUCUUAUGUUUUUUUCUAUAUUUUAUAUACACAAAACUGAUAUAUAAUACAAAUCUAUAUCUAAAUAUAUAUAAAAGUCCUCUCUAAAGUGUAUAACUAAAUUAUGCUUAAUAAAAGAUUUUGCUAUAAUUUAUGUAUUGGUGAUCUCUAGAAAUGUGUCUUAUCAAAAUACAGUGUUGCACCUUUACUUAGUUCUUAGCAACCACUUGAUUGAAGAUAUGGCAAAGGGUAACCAAUCAUUUAUGGUUCAUGUUAUUUUAAAUUAAAGUCAAAAAAUACUGAGUCAUCUCAAUAAUAAUUUCUACCAAUUUGUACAAUUAUUUUAAACACUGUUUGGCCCUGGCUUUGGUAAAUAAUGUAGGAGUUUAGUGGCUGAAUAUCUUUUGAUUUGAGUUAUUAAUGAGAAAUUAGGGAUUUCUACAUGAGGUGCUUCACCUGUGUUGGGCCUUGAGCCAUCUGGUUUUUACUGGGUGCUUCAAACUUAAUCUCUCCCCCACUGCAUCCUUCUAAGCCCUGGGAACAUCCUUGCUGGCUGGGCUCAAGGAGCACCCUUGCUCUCUGGUUGCCAGACUGAGUCUGGUGUGGGAGGAAGCUGAGGUCAGGGUCACUUCCCAGCACCUGGCCUUCCAUGUCCACAGAUCCAGUGCCUGCUUUUACUGCAGACCCAGUUGCUGGUGAGUGGACCUGUCCUGUGGGGGCAGUUCUCCCUCCUUGGUGCCUCUGAACCUAAAGGAAGUAGACCACUCACCCCUCCUUGCCCUGGAAAUGCUUCCUGGGACCCUUGUUGAUUUCCCUCAGCCAUGCCCAUGCAUUUGCAGAAUUAAUAAAUUAAUUACCUGUACCUAAAAUUUCCCAACCAGGAUGAAAGUAACUGAGUUACAUGUAGACAAUGGAAUAUUACUCAGCACUCAAAGAAAUGGGCUAUCAAGCUGUGAAAAGAUUGGGAGGAAUCUGAAAUGCAUGUGGUGAAGUGAAAGAAGGUAAUCUGAAAAGGCUGUAGAGGGAAUAGCUACAGCUUGAUGACAUUCUGGAAAGGCCACAACUACGGGAACAGUGACAGGAUCGCUGGUUUCCAGGAGUUGGGGUGAGGGAGGGAGGGGUUAAGAGGGAUAGUACAGAAGGUUUAGGGUAGAGAAAUGACAGUGUGAUACUGUGAUGGUGCAUACAUGUUAUCAAACUUGUGUCCAAACCCAUACAAUGUGCCAGAGUGAACUUAACAUAAACCAUGGACUUCAGGUGAUAAUGAUGCACCAGUGUAGGUUCAUCAGGUGUAACAAUGUACCAUCUGGUGGGGAUAUUGAUAAUGGGGGAGGCUGUGUUCUCGGCUCAAUUUUGUUACCAACUUUUACCUGGCCUAAAAAUAAAGUUCUUAAUUUAAAAAAUCUCUCAAUUAACCCAUAUGAAUAUGUAUAAUAUAUAUGACUAUAUAUACACAAGUAUAUAUGUUUAUAUACAGAUAUGUAUAAAUAUAUGUAGAAAAGCUUGACUCAUAGAGAAAUCUGUUAUAUUUGACAGCAUCUCAAUCUUAGCAUUAUUUCUGUGUAUCUCACUCAACAAUGCCAUCACUUUGCUAAGUAUAAUAAUAUUAUACUUACUAUAAUAAAAGACCUUUAUACCAAGCAUCUAGUGUAAUAAAGACCUUUAUACUAAGGUGACCUGAGUAUCUUAACCUUCAGCUUUACUUAGGCCAGUUCAUGUCUUUAUGUAAUAAGAUGUAACACUGAAACUAUUGGAUAUAACAUUUAAAAUUCAAUGCAAACAGUACAAAAAUGCUUGAAAGAUGACAUUAAGACUAUAUAUACUAUAGUAUAUAUAAUAUACCAGGCAUGGCUCAAAACAAAAAACUAACACUUCUGAAAUUAACAAAAACAAAGUUGAUAAUAUUGGCAACAUGCACUGCAGAGUUUUCCCAGCAAAUAUUUUCUUUUAUAGGAACACGUACUUGUCCUGCAGUGGGUUAUUGCAGAUUCCAUGCAAUUGAAACAUUCGUCAAAAAGCAAGGAAAUGGAGUACACAUAAAUAAGGCUGUCCUUUUGAAAAGCUGCAAGCUGGCUUAAAUUUAUACAUUAAAGAAAAAUAAAUUGAUGGGAUGGCCAGGGAAAUAAAAGUUCCCUUUCUUUCAUGUACCUUCUGGUGUUUUCAUAAUCUUACCAUGUCCUGAAAACUCCGCACUAUCCAAGUGGUAAUGGAUUCAUACAACAAACACCCAAGAAAUGGUGGAUUUCACAGUCUGUCUGAAGUCCUUUGUGGACACCAGCCUCCUGCCCCACUUUUGCACAAACAAAAGUUUGCUUUUUUUUUUUUUCUCCUGUUCCAUAUGAAAUAAUCAUCCACCAGAAGGAAAAAGUUAAAUUUAUAAAUGAACCUUUUAAUUUCACACCAAUUUUGAAAAAGAAACUUUUGAAUGAUUUCAAAAUUAUUUUGCAAAGGGUGUAUGUAUGCCUUAUAUGAAAUAUAAGGACUUAAUAUUACUUUUUUGAUAUGUUACUGCAAAAUAGUUACAUAUCCUUUAAUUUUCAUCUACCCCUAUGAUUGAUUAGGCUGGUUCAUGAAUUUGACCAUCCAAUAAAUGGUAAACUCUUUACAUUUUAUGUAGAAGUAUUCUCCAUAC
rnacentral:lncRNA from 1 species